AGAGUUUGAUCAUGGCUCAGAUUGAACGCUGGCGGCAUGCCUUACACAUGCAAGUCGAACGGUAACAGGUCUUCGGAUGCUGACGAGUGGCGAACGGGUGAGUAAUACAUCGGAACGUGCCCGAUCGUGGGGGAUAACGAAGCGAAAGCUUUGCUAAUACCGCAUACGAUCUACGGAUGAAAGCAGGGGACCGCAAGGCCUUGCGCGAACGGAGCGGCCGAUGGCAGAUUAGGUAGUUGGUGGGAUAAAAGCUUACCAAGCCGACGAUCUGUAGCUGGUCUGAGAGGACGACCAGCCACACUGGGACUGAGACACGGCCCAGACUCCUACGGGAGGCAGCAGUGGGGAAUUUUGGACAAUGGGCGCAAGCCUGAUCCAGCCAUGCCGCGUGCAGGAUGAAGGCCUUCGGGUUGUAAACUGCUUUUGUACGGAACGAAAAGACUCUGGUUAAUACCUGGGGUCCAUGACGGUACCGUAAGAAUAAGCACCGGCUAACUACGUG
rnacentral:rRNA from 1 species